CGGCUGGGGCCUUGGAUCUACAACUCUCUGGGCAGCCGCGCUAAGUUGUAUAGCCGCUUUUUUAAUCGUCUUCAUUGCCCUCACCCUGGGAAAGUUCCGCCGGAAGAUCCUUUUCAACCGAUCGCAAGAAAUGUGGAACCGAGGUGAAAGGUGCCCACCGGACGACUCGGCUAAAAGAGACUGCAAUCACGUGCGCCACGACCUAGUAGAAGGAAAUACCGAUUUGGGUACCGAGCUUGCCGCCUUCGAUCCUCCGGCCAUGAUCACCUUCAAGGACCCCAUCGUCAUGAAGCCCAACCUUAGCGGGAGCAACGGGGCCAUCCUGGUGUCUGCUCAUCCAAAGAUGUUCAUCCCGUCGCCGUCCUAACUGGAGGCCCCACGUGCAUUUCAGCCAAACUGGGCAACCAGCCCCGAUCAUCGCCUUCUUGGCAGACACACUUUGGCGCCAUGACGAACGACAGCUCAACCCAGGUAUGUACGACAGCUCAAGAUAUGUCUGUACAACUGCUCAGCUGUGUCUACGACAGAGCUAUGACUGUACGACGACUGUUCCAUGACUGUGCCACGGAGAAAACCUUGGUGGUGCCCCGCCUCAAGCUAUAUUUAUAUGAGGACUCAAGCCGUGCCACGGCUUAAGCCAUGACUUUAAGACGGCCCAAACCACGAAAAUUUCACGAUUCAAGUCAUCACUGUGCCAUGGUUCAAGACAUAGCUGCACGACGGCUCAAAACACGACUGUUCCACUACUCAAGCCAUGACCUCUCCAUGGAUUCAGCCCUGUCUGUGCAACUGCUCGUGCCAUGACUGUUCGACGGCUCUAGCCAUGACUAUGGCACGUCUCAAGCAAUGACUGUGCCAUGGAUGAAACCAAGACUGUUCUACGACUGAAGCCCUGUCUGUAGAACGGCUAAAGCCGUGACUGUGCCAGAGUCCGAGUCGUGUCCGUAUGACGGCCUGUCGGAGAAGCCGUCGACUGCUCAAGAAUGGUGUCGGAUUGUGUUAUGUCUCAGUGGUGAGGUCUGGACGCCGUAUAAACCUCGAUGUGACUCGAAGGCACGCUUUCAAAGGCACACACAAUAUUGUGAGAGACGCAGUAAGGUGGCGAAUACCUCCUCCCACAUGGAGAAGCACCCAAUACAGGAGUUCGUGUAAAUACGCAUAAUCGUCGAUUUCUCCGGGCAGCCGGAGUGCGUCCUGGGAGGUUACUGGGGAACGUGGGGGACCAAGAAAGCCAACAAUACUCGUAACCUUUUUUUUUCUUUUGUGAACUUUGGAAAGUGUGUAUAUACAGUGGUUGAGUUUCGGACUACUAGGCAGGCUUCGUGCAUGGGAAGCACGUUCAGUCUAAUUCUUGUUUUCGGCUGAAGAUGUGUGCCUAAGGAAGAAAUUCAAGAAAGAUUGUUGGUUAUAAUAACUUAAGCGAAAAAAGAAAAAAAA